UCGCUGUCAAAAUAGUUGUUAUUAAAAUCAAAUGUAUUGCAAACAAACGAAAUAAGAACCCAAGCGGUACGGUAAAACGAUUCGAGGGUAUUUUGUAAUCAUGGAAAUCGAAGAUCGGAAUGCACUUUUUCAGUUUUUCAUCGAAUGGCCUACUUUCUGUCCAUAUGAAAGGACAUAAUACACAAUUUUCGGAAAUAAGAAAACAAACAAUGAACAAAUGGAGAAAUUUCAAAUUGUGGCGUGCAAUGAGACUAAAUGAACCAGCUCUGAUAUUGGAUUCACACAAUGUCGAACCACGAACUUCGAGAUUUGGCGCGUCAAAUUAAAUAUUCCUUCAGUGAAAAUCGAUUAGAUCGUGAACCUUUUGUACUUAAUUUGUGUAAGAAUAGUUCACAAAGAACUUGACUCAAAUGUAUUCGAAGUUCCUGCAUGCCUGGAAAUAGUGUAUUCAACCAAUCCUUUUCAAUCCGAUCGGAGAAAUAACAAUUGACAAAGUUUAUCUUUUUGACUCUAGUGAAUGGUUUUUUGAGAUGUUCUGGUAAAUCUCGAAUUCCAAUUAAUUCAAUGUCUUCCAAGGAUUCGCCACAAUAUUCGUUUAUGUAUUCAAUUGUACGCUGGAUCCAUAUCAAAUCUGUUCCUUUAUAAAAUUUAAAUUCGAUUUUAGUUACAAAAUUUCCAAAACAGCGCAGAAAUCGUAAACUUAGUCUCCAGUUUUCCAUAAAUAAAGUAUCUUGCAUCUCAGCAGGUACAAAUGCAAAUUUUAUUCCUGAAUUGGAAUAAAUUACCCGUAAACGAUAUUUUCGGUAAUAAAUAGACUUUGCGGCACGAUUUAAUCGUUUAUUAGAAUCAGCCGCAAUCAAAAGAUCGUCAAAUGUUAAAUGCUCCAAACAGCUCUCAAUGCAAUCUAGAUUCAUAUCCGUGAGUUUCAUCUUUUCUAUCAUUUUUCACGGUUUCUAUCAAAUCAAAAAUGUUCAAAUAAUAAAUAAGAAAUUUUUGUUCAAUAAAUCAAAAUAUGGAUACGAACUUACCUGAUCAUUCAAAUCGAUUUAAAUUUUCUUAAGUUAGUUGAUUAUUGAAUUACCUUGUACGUUUACAUUUAGAAC